rnacentral:misc_RNA from 1 species
AAGUCGUAACAAGGUUUCCGUAGGUGAACCUGCGGAAGGAUCAUCAUGAAUUUGCACCGAAGCGAUUCGGUUGCGAUCCACAUAUUUGGAACGAGGACCCGAUUUGCACCGGUGAUGACGACGGUCAUGAGUGACAGGUGUGAAUUGUGGUGACCGAGUGAUCGGUCUGUGAUCUGACGGUCACGUUUUCAGGUGUGAAACAGUUUCGGCCGACUGACGAGGUGGACGGAACUUGCACCGGAAUGACAUACAUGAAUUUUUAUUGAACAGGAGCUGACCGGAUUGUGUUAACGCACACCGGGGAGAAACGGUUAAAACUUUCGGCAAUGGAUCUCUUGGCUAUCC